GUAGGGGAGCAAGCGUUAUCCGGAUUUACUGGGUGUAAAGGGCGCGCAGGCGGGAAGACAAGUUGGGGAGUGAAAUCCGGGGGCUCAACCCCGAACUGCUUUCAAAACUGUUUUUCUUGAGUGAUGGAGAGGCAGGCGGAAUUCCCAGUGUAGCGGUGAAAUGCGUAGAUAUUGGGAGGAACACCAGUGGCGAAGGCGGCCUGCUGGACAUUAACUGACGCUGAGGCGCGAAAGCGUGGGGAGCAAACAGGAUUAGAUACCCUGGUAGUCCACGCCGUAAACGAUGGAUACUAGGUGUGGGAGGUAUUGACCCCUUCCGUGCCGGCGUUAACACAAUAAGUAUCCCACCUGGGGAGUACGAUCGCAAGGUUG
rnacentral:rRNA from 1 species